ACAUGCCUACAACAUAGCGUUAAUGCACCGAAUCCCAUUAUAACUCUGCAGUUAAGCAUGCUCAAGCUAGAGUAGUACUGGGAUGGGUGAUCGCUUGGGAAGCCCUAGUGUUUUACAUGCC
rnacentral:rRNA from 1 species